CUUGCUGAGGGAGAAGGGCCUGGCUGCCUGGAAGCUGAGUGAGUACCUGAGGUGGAGCGGAGCUGGGGAUCUCUGGCCCGGAAACCUCCCAGGCUUCAGGCCUAGAGUAAGGCCAACGAGGGGAAAGCAGGAUCUCCCAAAUUCAACCCUUAUUUUGGCUUCUGAGUUGGCAGGAUGCAAUGAUACAGAUUCCAGAUGAGGAAGCUAGAUAUAAUGAGUUUUCAAGAAUCUGCUAUUAUUGCUCAGACUUUCUCGAAAGUGACAGUCUUUGACAGAGACCAAGCAUGAAUAACUUCAGCCCAAAAUUCCAGAAUCCUAUGGAAAGUUGUGCUUUGUAUUUGAAACAGAGGGUUGCUCUUUAGUGAAAAUGUUUACAACCUUAAUUGUUUGAGCAUUACAUGUACCUGAUAUAGUAAUGUACCUUGUAUAUGACAUUUCAAUAAACUUUAAAUUCAGGUGCAGCAAAAUGGAAAUAAAGUAGAAUUCUCAGGCCAGCCAAAGAAUAAGCUGCUUAAAGAAUAUGUUCCUCAUCAUCAAAUAAAAAAAAUACAAUUAAACCCUUGUCUAUCGUAGACAUUUCUGUAAAUAGAUCUGCUUUAUUAAUAUAAAUAUCUAGCUUUUAUAGUGCUUCAGUUGAUCUCAAAGAACUUUAUGUAGGAGGCAAGUAUCCCUAUUGCUGUUUGACAGAUGAGGAAACUGAGAAAGGGCAUGAAGUGACUUGUCCAAGGUCACCCUGAAUCUCAGUGGCAGAGUUAGGAAUAAAGCCCAGUCUCCUGUGUACUAGUCCAUUGAUCUAGCCACUAGGCCACAUGGCAAAUCCACUAAGCACCAUGCCUUUAGCACCACAUUAUUAAUGUUUUAGUUUUCAUACAAUCUGUAUGCUGUUGGCUCUUGGGACCCCAAAGAUUGAAUUUGCUAGAAGAAUGCUUUUUAAUGGGUCAUGCA